ACCUCCUCUAAAUUGUAAAUUGAGUCGUCACCAGCUGCUAUCAUAUCAACAGAGAUGUCCAUAUCCUUCUCCUGAUCCUCCUCAACUGAGGCCACAGACCACUGACUCCCUCAGCCACAUCUCUCUGAACACUCUCCACUUGGACCCCAUCACUCGUAUCUCCUCCACUACCUGGGAGACUAGCCCCACCUGAACCCCAUUAUUCGUAUUAUGCAUCUGGUACACCUGGAUCCUCCUGUUUGGGAGGGGUGUCCAAUAUGCAUCUGGUACACCUGGAUCCUCCUGUUUGGGAGGGGUGUCCAAUAUGCAUCUGGUACACCUGGAUCCUCCUGUUUGGGAGGGGUGUCCAAUAUGCAUCUGGUACACCUGGAUCCUCCUGUUGGGGAGAGGUGUCCAAUAUGCAUCUUGUACACCUGGAUCCUCCUGUUUGGGAGGGGUGUCCAAUAUGCAUCUGGUACACCUGGAUCCUCCUGUUGGGGAGAGGUGUCCAAUAUGCAUCUGGUACACCUGGAUCCUCCUGUUUGGGAGGGGUGUCCAAUAUGCAUCUGGUACACCUGGAUCCUACUGUUGCGGAGGGGUGUCCAACAUGCAUCUGGUACACCUGGAUCCUACUGUUGCGGAGGGGUGUCCAACAUGCAUCUGGUACACCUGGAUCCUACUGUUGCGGAGGGGUGUCCAAUAUGCAUCUGGUACACCUGGAUCCUACUGUUGCGGAGGGGUGUCCAACAUGCAUCUGGUACACCUGGAUCCUACUGUUGCGGAGGGGUGUCCAACAUGCAUCUGGUACACCUGGAUCCUCCUGUUGGGGAGGGGUGUCCAACAUGCAUCUGGUACACCUGGAUCCUACUGUUGCGGAGGGGUGUCCAAUAUGCAUCUGGUACACCUGGAUCCUACUGUUGCGGAGGGGUAUCCAACAUGCAUCUGGUACACCUGGAUCCUACUGUUGUGGAGGGGUGUCCAUUCUGUGCUGAGUCUGAAACUCUGGCACAUCUGUUCUUUCAGUGUCCCAGGUUGAUCGGGAUAAUUGACCUGAUUGCUAGCUGGUUCUCAGCUCUGGGAGAGGUUUUCUCUUCCCAACAGUUUAUAUUUGGGCUAAAGUACAGGUUUAGUCGAAGGGGUGUCGUUCUCUUGCUUAACUUUGUGUCAGGGGCAGCUAAAUUAGCAAUAUGGAAGA
rnacentral:lncRNA from 1 species